rnacentral:rRNA from 1 species
CGUCUAUAUACGUAUAGCAUAUCAAUAAGCGGAGGAAAAGAAACUAACUAGGAUUCCCUCAGUAACGGCGAGUGAAGCGGGAAGAGCUCAAAUUUGAAAUCUUCAAGGUUCUACCUUGACGAAUUGUAGUUUAAAGAAGUGUUUUCUGUUGGAGUUUUGGUAAAAGUUCUUUGGAAUAGGACAUCAUAGAGGGUGAGAAUCCCGUAUUUGACCAUUAUUUCCAACUUUGUGAUACACUUUCAAAGAGUCGGAUUGUUUGGGAAUGCAGUCCAAAAUGGGUGGUAAAUUUCAUCUAAAGCUAAAUAUUGGCGAGAGACCGAUAGCGAACAAGUACCGUGAGGGAAAGAUGAAAAGAACUUUGAAAAGAGAGUUAAACAGUACGUGAAAUUGUCAAAAGGGAAGCGUUUGACACCAGUGUUGUUUUCUCGAAAAUCAAUUAAAAAUGGCAGGAUUUUGUGUUGUAUUGACUUUAUCAGCUUUCUGCACUUUUUUCCUGUCUUUUUUAAUGCACUUUUCGUUUAACAAGUCAACAUCAAUUUCUUUUGUUGUAAAAGGGUCAUUGGAAGGUGACUUUCUUUUCGGAGAAAGUGUUUAUAGCCUUUGACUUCUGCAAUCGGAGAGAUUGAGGUCUGCAGCGUAGAUCCUUCGGGGUUAGAUAGCAUUUGUGCUAAGUUAUAGUUUUUCAUAGACAACAUGUUGACUAUGAUUAAUCAUGUAGCUUACUCGCUUAUGCUAUUUUACCUACGCUUAGGAUGUUGACGAUCAGCUGAGCGCG